rnacentral:rRNA from 1 species
AGUCGAGCGAAUGGAUUGAGAGCUUGCUCUCAAGAAGUUAGCGGCGGACGGGUGAGUAACACGUGGGUAACCUGCCCAUAAGACUGGGAUAACUCCGGGAAACCGGGGCUAAUACCGGAUAACAUUUUGAACUGCAUGGUUCGAAAUUGAAAGGCGGCUUCGGCUGUCACUUAUGGAUGGACCCGCGUCGCAUUAGCUAGUUGGUGAGGUAACGGCUCACCAAGGCAACGAUGCGUAGCCGACCUGAGAGGGUGAUCGGCCACACUGGGACUGAGACACGGCCCAGACUCCUACGGGAGGCAGCAGUAGGGAAUCUUCCGCAAUGGACGAAAGUCUGACGGAGCAACGCCGCGUGAGUGAUGAAGGCUUUCGGGUCGUAAAACUCUGUUGUUAGGGAAGAACAAGUGCUAGUUGAAUAAGCUGGCACCUUGACGGUACCUAACCAGAAAGCCACGGCUAACUACGUGCCAGCAGCCGCGGUAAUACGUAGGUGGCAAGCGUUAUCCGGAAUUAUUGGGCGUAAAGCGCGCGCAGGUGGUUUCUUAAGUCUGAUGUGAAAGCCCACGGCUCAACCGUGGAGGGUCAUUGGAAACUGGGAGACUUGAGUGCAGAAGAGGAAAGUGGAAUUCCAUGUGUAGCGGUGAAAUGCGUAGAGAUAUGGAGGAACACCAGUGGCGAAGGCGACUUUCUGGUCUGUAACUGACACUGAGGCGCGAAAGCGUGGGGAG